UCAUACUCUUCAAGUGGCACUGCUAGUUCACAAGGUCAAUAUGGCUCCUCCACCUUAGGAAGUAGUUUUGAUCAAAACGAAUGGGCUCAAGCCGCUUAUUCAUUUAUGAAUACACAAAGGAGCUAUACUACUAACGAGCUAGAUAUAUAUUUGUCUAGUACAUUUGCUUUCAAAAGUGUAGGUGGUAUACAAUUUGACGUCUUGAGAUGGUGGUCCACGCACGAGAGAGAAUAUCCCAUACUCGCCACCAUGGCCAAGGAGUUAUUCG
rnacentral:lncRNA from 1 species